CCGUACAGCGAGCUGCACCGCCGCCGCGAAGGCCAGCCAAAGCAGAUCGUAUGUCAGCCAUCUCGCGUCGCUACGAAAACACGACAGUCGUUCGUCAUGCCUUGGAUAUAACAGCAAAUCCUCCACGGCACCCGCUUUAUAUAACUCAAGAAGGCAGCUGCAAGGACACGAGGAUGUGAAAGAGCCAGUGCAGUGCGACUUCACGUAGUGCAGAGGAGCCAAUGCCAAAAAAUCAAAAUACAUUGCCAUGCAAUUUGGACAAGAAAACUAGGACAACCCAGGACGUGCAUUUCUCAGCACCCAGUCAAUUGCGAGAAGUGACUCGAACACAGGCCACCAGUGGCACUCGGCUGUACCACUGCAGUGCUGCGGAAAUUGCCAGCACCAGCGGCUUUGCAACAGCUGUUUCACAGCAUGUCGGAGACAAUGCCUACGAAAUUAUUGGCCCUGAUGACGAGAGCCCUCAAGGGCCAAACGAAAUCUCUGUUGCAGAAGUGAGCCCGAUACCACCUGAAGUUACCACGACAGGUGGCACGGCAGCAAUAGAUACAGAGACGGCCAUGUCUACUGCAGCUGCAACAGUGUACGAGGCAAGCAGCAGUGUGUCAGCAUCAGCAGCACUGUCAGAAGGAACCGCACCAGGCCUGGUAGAGCAACAUGUGUGCUAUCACUGCGACUUUUUUGUAGUGCAUUUGCUCAACAUACAAAAGCUUUUCACCGCGACUGUGAGCCAGUGUUCUUGCGCAGCAAGUGCAAGAUUAAGUUAGGUAGUAUAACACAGUACAAGCAUCACUUUAAAAUAUGCAAACAUAUUACAGUUGUUGCCUCCCCACCCAGCCCACAUAGCGACAACAACGUGGAACACAUGGUGGGACACACCUCUUCCCCAUUAGAAGAUAGUAAAGA